UGGUGGAGUACGGCCCACCANGNCGACGACGGGUAGUCUGGUCUGAGAGGACUACCAGCCACACUGGNAACUGUAGUACGGUCCAGACUCCUACGGGAGGCAGCAGUGGGGAAUAUUGCACAAUGGGCGAAAGCCUGAUGCAGCGACGCCGCGUGAGGGAUGAAGGCCUUCGGGUCGUAAACCUCUUUCGGCAGGGACGAAGCGAUCAGUGACGGUACCUGCAGAAGAAGCCCCGGCUAACUACGUGCCAGCAGCCGCGGUAAGACGUAGGGGGCGAGCGUUGUCCGGAUUCAUUGGGCGUAAAGCGCGCGUAGGCGGCUGCGCAAGUCGGUUGUGAAAUUCCGGGGCUCAACCCCGGAACUGCGUCCGAUACUGCGUGGCUAGAGGUAGGUAGGGGAGAUCGGAAUUCCUGGUGUAGCGGUGAAAUGCGCAGAUAUCAGGAGGAACACCGGUGGCGAAGGCGGAUCUCUGGGCCUUACCUGACGCUCAGGCGCGAAAGCUAGGGGAGCGAACAGGAUUAGAUACCCUGGUAGUCCUAGCCGUAAACGUUGGGUGCUAGGUGUGGGCGGAUAU
rnacentral:rRNA from 1 species